rnacentral:lncRNA from 1 species
CUAGGUCAAACCCACCGAACCGUCGCGUGCUCCUUCGAUUCGCCGAACGGAGUUGUCCACGAGUCUCAAAAUACCCUAAAAGUGAUCAGCGAAGAGAUACGAGGGCAUUACGACCAACCAUAAGAUCAAACAUUAACCUAGAAGCAAAAAGGGCCAAAACUCACCUCAAGAGAAGAAAUCUCUUCCAAAGCUCCAAAAGAGAGCUAGAACCCUUCC